AAUAUUAUAAAAAAUAUUUAAUAGGAAAUAUAUUGGAAGUUGUUUUUUUGAUUUCUUAAAUACUUCAAAUUUGUUCUUUUCAAUGAAAAACUUCUAAAUUUGAAUUCAUUAAUAAGAGAUCUAAGAGCUCUUGAUAAUAUAUAAAACCAAAUUGCCUUCGUGAGAUAAUGCUUCAGAUGGGGUUUUUGCAUCAGUAGAUCUCAUGGGUUAUGCUCUUUGUUGAAACAGUAAAUUAUAUCGUUAUAGUUAAUGAGGAUGUAUUUGGACCGAUUAUUUUCGACAGGGAUAUCUUUCAAGGUGAUCCUAUUUCUUCCUAUAUGUUUAUUAUUUGCGCAGAAGGUCUUUCGGUGCUUAUUCGCCAAGCUAAAGCACAAGAUGAGAUUCAUAGAACCAACACUUGUCGAAAUGCAUACCUUAUUUCUCACUUAUUAUUUCCAUAUGACUGAUUCCUUUUCUUCAUAGGUAAUAAUGAAGCUUUGACUAUGAAAAAUAUUUUUACUACCUAUGAGGCAACAACUGUCUGAUAUUCUAGGGUGUACAUGUUGUCUGGGCACCGGGAAGAAUUUGGGGCUCCCCUCCAUAGUUGGUGUUGGAACAUGUAGUAUGUUAAGAUUUUUUUUUUUUAAAUCUCAUAUUAGAAAACUCUCGUAGAUUAGUUUUCAACUCUGUAGAUAUUAAAGUCUCACAUUGGUUAGAAAAUAUAUCUGAGUUUGCUUCCAUCACUAUAUAAUGAAUUUUCCAACUUUCUCUUUUCUCCCUUUUGUAUUAUGCUCGCCUAAUUUUCGAGCAACUUAUCCCCUUUCUUUCUGAUCUUCAAUAUUUAUAAGCGGUUUUUUAGGUUAUGCUGUAGUUCCUUCGUUUUUUCUGCCAUAUUGAGGGUGUAAUUCUAGAACGGUUUUCUAUGGUGCAGUGGAACUCCGAUACAAUGAAUCUGAGCUGUUUAUAAUCUGUCUUGCGCAAUUUGGGCAAUGCGUCUUAAGCUGUGAAACGUCUUAAAGAGAGCGACCUAGUCCGCGACUCAAACCAGUGAUAUCUUCGGUGGCAUAAAUUGUGAUUUUUAAAUAAUUUUCUAAAACUCAAAAAUAACAAUUUUAAGAUGUUUCUUUUUUUGUCGUGUCAACCGAAGAGAUUACUGGAUUUGGUUAUGUUGCCUCUGAUUUCAAUAAACUGUUUCAGUUUAGGGCAAACAGAAAAGGAUAAAAAAGUUGGAGAAUUAAUUCAUGGGAGAAUAAUUAUAAGAAUUAUAUUCUUAAUGGAAUUGCUGAUGAUCUGUAUAACUAUUACAGUUCCAACAAUACUGCUAGAUAUGUUUGAGAUACUAUGAAUAAGUAAGUUGUGAGCUGCUACCUAGAGUAUCAGAUGACCGAUGACAGAUCCAUAGAGGUUGACAGAUUCGUGGAGGCACACUCUCGUAAAAUUCAGAAGAUAACUCAUGAGAUCAUCUAUUAAGGUUGAUAAACAAGAGAUACAAAUCACCUUGAAGAUUUGAUAUCAUUUUUUUGUCAUUCAUUGGACUUUGAAUGUGUUUUGUUGGAUGAUAUGUGUAACUGUUUAUGGGAUUCAUUUGGUUUUAUUUGUAAUUUUUGAAGGACUUUUUAGAAUUUGUUAAUUAUGAAUUCAUUUUGUUUUUGUUUUUUUUUUUAUGGGAAGGUUGUUGCAUUACAAACUUGGUAGUUAUAAUUUUAUUAGAUUUGAUUAUAA